AAAGUUGUAGAUCUGCUUCUCCUCUUUCCGGAACAUCUUGAAUCAUCGAAAUCGGAGUUCGGACGAAGACGUAAUGGCCAUUUUCCCAAAGGACGUCGGAGUAGAAAAUGUCGGAUUUUGGGCCAGCGCCGGGGCGCCCAUUUUUGGCCUAUGCACAGCGCCGGGGCGCUAGGGGGCAGACUCCAGCGCCGUUGCCCAGCGCUGGGGCGCUGGGGGAAGGGUUUGGUGUCAAUUGCAACGAAAAUGUAUGGUCAUUGCAAAAAAAAAAGUUCAUUUCAUUGCCAAUUAGAAGGCUUUUGCAACGAAAUGGGCUUUUUAGCAAUAAAUUUUUAAUUAUUCUGCAACAAUACAUUUUGUUGCUAAAGGAUUGAUGUCUCUGUACGAAAGCCAAAUUUCGUUGCAAAAUGUAUUACUUUUGGCAACGAAAAAAAUACGUUCGUUGCGGAACAAUUAGCAACGCUCAUUGCGCAACGAAAGACGCAACGAUAGUAAAGUCGUUGCCAAAACCCUUUUGCAAUGAAAUUUGGCACCUUUAGCAACGAAAAUUGGUUGUUCCUGAAGCCCCAUUUUUUUGUAGUGACGAAAUCUUUCUUAGCAUACAAGAUCAAACUAUGAGUUAGGGUUUUACCUUCUCUUGUCCAAUCUUUGAUCCUUUUCUAGGAGCUUGGUAAGUGAUUGAAUUGGUUUAGAAUUUCGGAGGUCAAGGAGAGAGAGAGAGAGAGAGAGUUGUUGAGAGUAUGAUAGCAAAAUGACUAAGUUUUGUGACUUUAUCUCUCUUUAUCUCUUAUAAAAUGAUACAUUAUAUCUACACAUGGCUAGGUGGCGAUUUUGAUCAGUUGUUGGCUGAGAUAUAAGUCAAUUAGUUGGUUAAGAGUUGGUGAACAACUACAAUAUGGCAAGAUUGACAAGUUACUUUAAUAAAAAUCCAAAAAGGACAUUUUGGUCAUUGUUUUUAUAAUUUUAAUGGCAUGAUCGUCAAUUGUACAAACCCUUAGGAUUUAACCCUUAGGGUUUAACCCUAAGGUUAUAACCCUUAGGUUUUAAAAACUCAAAUUCUAGAAUUUUCUAAUUAGGGUUUAAAAAUAGAAAAUUAAGAAUUUCAAAAAUGUAAUUAUGGUUUUAAAUUAGAAAAUUAAAAGUUUAAGACUAAAAUUAGGGUUUUCUAAUUAAAUUAGGUUUUUCUAAUCAUAUCAACGUUUAAUAAAUAUAUUAGGCCUUCCAAUUAGGAUUAGGCUUGCCUAAUUAGGGUUUAGAAACCCCGAAUAUGAAAUUAGGGUUUUAAUUAGAAAAAUAAAAUUUCUAAAUUACAAUUAGGGUUUGUAAAAUAGAAAUUAAGAUACCUAAAAUAUAAUUAGGGUUUUUCUAAUCAUAUUUAAGUUUAAUAAACACAUUAAGCUUACUAAUUAGGAUUAGGGUUUCCUAAUUAUGGUUUAGGAUUCCCGAAUUUAAAAUUAGGGUUUCUCGGCUUUCGAUUAGGGUUUUUAACGGUACGUUAGGGUUUCUAAUCCUGAGAUUAGGGGUUUUAAUCUCUUAUUAGAGUUUAUUAAUUUUAAACCUUAUCUAAUCAAUCAUUGAUCAAUAUCUCUAUACAGUACUAACACAUACUCUUUAAUAUACUUAUUUUAAUUAUAUUUUCUAUCAAAUCCCUAUCCAAAAAUUAGGGUUAUGGUUUCCAAAGCUGUUAAGCACAACUCUACUCUAAAUUUAUUAGUCAAUACACAAAUUGACCUUCUCGAGACUCGUAUCACAGAUACUUGUCGCAAAAUUGAUAAUCAAUAUUAAUAUUAAUAAAAAAAAAUUUAUUCGUAAAAUUUUGAUUAUUCGAAAUCCCGGGUUAUCACAUCCUGCCCUUGAUGAGUGAGUUUUAUACCCAUGAAUUGGAUACCUUCGGGCUUAAUUUAUUGUUGUUCUUAAUUCUUUUAGGAUGUUUUUAUGUGUUUGUGUCUAUUCAAGCAUGUUUUAUAUUGUUUUGUAGGAUUUGGGACAAAAGUUACAUGGAUCGAUGUUUGGGGUGGCUAGAUUCGCGUUUUCGGCUUGCCAUUUACACAGCAGUCACUUCAUAGCAAAUUUGACUAUAGCUCCUGACAUUAUUUCGAAAAACUCAAAGAAUGAAAGUUGUAGAUCUACUUCUCCUCUUUCCGGAACAUCUUGAAUCAUCGAAAUCGGAGUUCGGACGAAGAAGUUAUGGCCAUUUUCCCAAAGGACGUCGGAGCAGAAAAUGUCAGAUUUUGGGCCAGCGCCGGGGCGCCCAUUUUUGGCCUAUGCCCAGUGCCGGGGCGCUAGGGGGCAGACUCCAGCGCCGUUGCCCAGCGCUGGGGCGCUGGGGGAAGGGUUUGGUGCGGCCUGGACGCGUUUUGGGCGAAUUUUGACACCUUUUUGACUCCAAAUAGGAUUGGGUUUGUUCCUAAGCUAAAAAUUGGACUUGUAACCUAUAAAUACAUGAUGUAAGGCAUAAAAUAAAGGGAGAUUACAUAGCUUAGCCUAGAUUAAACACUCCUUUAGAUUAGAAAAUAACCCUAGUUCUUAUUAGUUUUGGAGAUUGAAGCAACUUGGAGACCAUUGAAGAUCAAGAGCAAGAGCAAGAGGGGAGCAUCAGAUUUGCUGACAACAGAUUCUAUUCUCUUCUCUCAUCUUACUUUUAUCUUUUGAUGUCUAUUCAGUUGUGGAUUCUUGGUUUUAAUUCAUUAAUUAUGAACUAACUAUUUUUGAGAUUUCAAUUGAACUUUUUAUGGCUAUGAAUUAGUUAUUCAUUAUAUUCUAAUUAUUUAUGUUAAAGUGAGUUGUUUAUCUUGUCUUGUGCUUAUUGCUUAAUUAUUUGAUCAGUAAUUACUUUGUUACUCUAGAAGGAAUUGGAAGAGGAAUUCUAGGGUUAGAACUGGGCAUGAUAUCAUGUGACUUAGUUAUUUGCAUGGUGAAAAAUUAGGUUUGUGAAUUGAAUGGAAAUAUCUGUUCGCCGCAUGUAACACGUAAGGAAUUGGGAUUGGAAAGAGUUUAAUUCAAUUGUUUUGCAUAGGAAUAUAGCAAGAUUAAUCUGGAUUAAAUAGAAGGCAAUUGAUCACUUGGAAAAGGACUUUUGGCAUUUGAGAAUUCCUGUUAACAAUUCAGUAGGCAUAAUAAUUGGGAUAAUUGGAUAAUUGAUUUAUAAUUCAUAAUUGGGGAUAUUGAAGUCUUAAUCUUUAUUUAUUUGAAUUCAUUCGUUAAAAUCUUAGUUUUAAUUAGUUAAUUUAGUUUUCUUAAUUAGAAAAAACACGAUUUGAGAUUGUUUAAAUAAAAUUAGUUUGGUUAAGAAUUAGUACUUGGUGAUUUUUAUUAAAUAAUUCCUCGUGGGAACGAUACUCUACUUUCACUUUAUUACUUGUUGACCGUGUAUACUUGCACGUAUUCAUUGAUUGCGAAAUCGAUCAACAAGUUUUUGGCGCCGUUGCCGGGGAAUUAAUUUAAUAAUUAUUUACCAAUAUUAAUUUCAAUCAAAUUAGUCUUAAUUUAAACAUUUUUAUUUUUAUUUUUAAUUCUCUUUCUAUAUUUCUCUCUUUUCAGGUACCAUGGAUGACUUUGUGUAUCAAUGGCCAUACACGAACAUGACUCAACCAAGGGGAGUGGAGAUUGAAAGACUCGAGAAACUUUCUGCAUUGUCAGCACAGAUUGAGACACUUUCGAGGAUGUUUGAAGCUUUUGAAGCUCAGCGUCGUCAAAGUAUGGUGGUUACUUGUGAUUAUUGUGCUGGAAAUCAUAUGAGUCAUCAAUGCACCAUCAGUUUCGAGCCGGUACAGUAUAGUGGUGAUUACCCCAAUAAUUAUGUCUAUCCCAACAACUAUCAUCAGGAUUGGGGGUAUCACCCGGAUUUUUCAUGGAGUAACAAUCAAGAUCAAUUUUAUGCUCCAAGUCCAACAUACCCACAGGAUUUCUUGUGUCCACCUCCACUACAACAGGAAGAACAUUCAAAUUGGGAGGAAGCCUUGGAAAAAUUUAUUAAAGCUUCUGAAAAAAGGAAUGAGGAACAAGACAAGAAAAUGAAUCAAGUAGAGCUGAAUUUGCAAAGCCAAGGGGCGUUGAUCAAGAAUUUGGAAAAUCAAGUGGAACAGAUAGCACAUGCGUUGAACAACCGUCCUCAAUACACCUGGCCCUAUGACAUGGAUUCCGAGCCCGAUGGUGAGCCCGAGCCAAAUCUACAACUGGAUGAGCCACGAGAUGAAAAAGAGGAGACAAGUGGGGAUAAUGACAACAAGGUCGGUGAAGAACUAAUUGUGAGAACCAAUGAUGAUGAGCCAAUGUUAUUUAUGCCUCAAGUGCCUUCUCCUCCACAGUUCAAGAGUCCGGUUAGAUUUGCAAAACCUUGUCCGAUUGGUAGUCAUGUCGUCGGCAAUACUCUCUGUGAUGUAAAAGCAAGUACACCUUCGAAACCAUGGUGCGAUGAGCUGGAGAAGAUAGAAGAAGAAACUGUUGUGUCUGACAAGCUUCAAUACCAGAAUAUAUUCGCAGACACAAUGGAGAAACCACCUAGAUGCUGGACGUUCUUGAAUGUGAUCUUAUCUAAAGAAAGCAUGCUAGGUGACUUUAAUACAAUGGCUAUCGUAAAUGGGAACCUACCAAAAGCUAUAUUAUUUCCGAUGGAUGGAGGGUUCCUCAACUUUCGUAGGGGAAUUGGAUAGAGAAUUGAAGAAGUCAGGCUGAGACUAUAAAACAAGCGCUUAUUGGGAGGCAACCCAAGUUUAAUUUUUAUUUUUAGUUUUUAUUAAGUUUUAUAUUAGUAGUUUUGAAUUUGCAUUUAUUUAGGAUUUAAUAAAAUUGCUUCUAUCAUGGUUUUACAGGUUAUUCAAGUCAAAUUCAAGUGUGGUGCCCAAUUUGUUCCAUGUGCUUAGCCUAUUCUCCAAACUUAGCGGGCAAGGAGGAAGAUUGCUAUAUUUUCAGGGAAGUCCUCUGCUUUAAUUUUUUCUAUUUCAGUCAUUGAGGACAAUGUCUAGUUUAAGUUUGGGGGCAUUUUAGUGUCGUAUUGCAUAUAGUUAGUUAUUUACAUUGUAGUUCGUUAUGUUUUCGGGUUAUUUACAUUUAGUUGUUGCAUUCGUUUUUUUUUUUUUUUUUUUUUAAAAAAAAAAUUUAAAAAUCGCAAAAAUAGUAGUUAGUUUACUAUGUUUGUUGCAGUUAGUUUAUAUUUGCAUGAUUCCAACUGUUAGAUAGUAAAAGUCUAUUUUGGCCAAUGAUGAGACUGGAGUUAAGUAGAUAAGUAUAGUAUUGAAUAUUCAGGCUUUGAUGUGAUUUCUUGUUAUGAAUUGAAUCUUUUCCUGUUUGAAACUGGUAUAAUCAAGGUUAGCACGUUAAUAACAGCUAUGUUAACUGAUUAAGUUUAAAUUGAUACAUAAUGGAUUUCUUAAGUAUAAUACUAGUGUGAAGGAAUGAAAGACAUGAAUAGGCGGAGAUGGCUAAAUUUUGAUAAAAACUUAAGUUUGGGGGGAAAUUUUGGGGUAUAUAAGCUUUAAAAAAAAAAAAAAAAAAAAAUGUUGAGUCUUGUGGUGGGUUGAGGAGAAACACUCCCCAUAAACACAAGCGUGAGAUGGAGCGUAAAACGCACUCACCAACCAUCUAUAAAAAAAAGAGAAAAAGAAAAAAAAAAUUACCGUGGCUAGUUUUGUUUCGGGGCCUUUGUUACUUGAGUAAGUACGCCCGAAGGGGUAUCUUAAAACCUAGCGCCCUAAGGUCUUAUAUGGUCUGGGAGUCGUUGGUCGAAAGCUCGCUAAGGGGUGACACUGUUAGCCUAAUGGAAUGAGACAUUGCACAGUUAUGGUUAAAAAAAAAAAAAAAAAACGGGAAAAGAGCAAAAAGCCCCCGUAAUGAAAAGUAAAGCAUAAGUAUCCCAGAUUGGACUCUUGAACUUGGUGGAUGUUUGACUUUAGUUGGAUAUAGCUUGUUCGUGAAUUUUGUGAAUUUGCACUGUAUGAUGCCUUCAAAGAUAUCUAUUAUGUCUUAAAUUUGAUUUUAUAUCAGUUAACAUUGUUGUGGAGCACACACGCACUAUAUCAGUGAUAACAGUCUAAGAUUUGAUGAUUGAUUGGGAAAUUACUGAUUUGUUUUAAUAUGAUGUAUUAUCAUGUUUACUUGAUUUCUCUAAGGCCGGUUGAAUAGACUUGUUUCUGUCAUUACUGUUGGAUUCGUAGGCAUAUAGAUUAGUUUCAUUACAUUGCAUUGCAUAACAUUUUUGUGUUUUUGCUUGAGGACAAGCAAAGAUUUAAGUUUGGGGGUAUUUGAUGAGUGAGUUUUAUACCCAUGAAUUGGAUACAUUCGGGCUUAAUUUAUUGUUGUUCUUAAGUCUUUUAGGAUGUUUUUAUGUGUUUGUGUCUAUUCAUGCAUGUUUUAUGUUAUUUUAUAGGAAUUGGGACAAAAGUUACAUGGAUCGAUGUUUGGGGUGGCUAGAUUCGCGUUUUCGGCUUGCCAUUUACACAGCAGUCACUUCAGAGCCAAUUUGACUAUAGCUCCUGACAUUAUUUCGAAAAACUCAAAGAAUGAAAGUUGUAGAUCUACUUCUCCUCUUUCCGGAACAUCUUGAAUCAUCAAAAUCGGAGUUCGGACGAAGAAGUUAUGGCCAUUUUCCCAAAGGACGUCGGAGCAGAAAAUGUCAGAUUUUGGGCCAGCGCCGGGGCGCCCAUUUUUGGCCUAUGCCCAGCGCCGGGGCGCUAGGGGGCAGACUCCAGCGCCGUUGCCCAGCGCUGGGGCGCUGGGGGAAGGGUUUGGUGCGGCCUGGACGCGUUUUGGGCGAAUUUUGACACCUUUUUGACUCCAAAUAGGAUUGGGUUUGUUCCUAAGCUAAAAAUUGGACUUGUAACCUAUAAAUACAUGAUGUAAGGCAUAAAAUAAAGGGAGAUUACAUAGCUUAGCCUAGAUUAAAC
rnacentral:lncRNA from 1 species